AUUGAACGCUGGCGGCAGGCUAACACAUGCAAGUCGAGCGGAGAUGAGGUGCUUGCACCUUAUCUUAGCGGCGGACGGGUGAGUAAUGCUUAGGAAUCUGCCUAUUAGUGGGGGACAACAUUCCGAAAGGAAUGCUAAUACCGCAUACGUCCUACGGGAGAAAGCAGGGGAUCUUCGGACCUUGCGCUAAUAGAUGAGCCUGAGUCGGAUUAGCUAGUUGGUGGGGUGAAGGCCUACCAAGGCGACGAUCUGUAGCGGGUCUGAGAGGAUGAUCCGCCACACUGGGACUGGGACGCGGCCCAGACUCCUACGGGAGGCAGCAGUGGGGAAUAUUGGACAAUGGGGGGAACCCUGAUCCAGCCAUGCCGCGUGUGUGAAGAAGGCCUUAUGGUUGUAAAGCACUUUAAGCGAGGAGGAGGCUACUCUAGUUAAUACCUAGGGAUAGUGGACGUUACUCGCAGAAUAAGCACCGGCUAACUCUGUGCCAGCCGCCGCCGUAA
rnacentral:rRNA from 1 species